CUUCUCCUUCUUCUUCUCCUUCUUAUUUUCUUCUUCUUCUCCUCUUCCUUCUUCUCCUCCUCCUCCUCCUCCUCCUUAUUUUACUUCUUCUUUUCUAUCUCUUCUUCUACGUAGCUUAGACUCAUCCAAGAAAGGCUAAAUUGGCUAAUUAUCCUGAUUAUUGUUAAAAAUGCUGGAUAUAACAAAAAAUAAAUAAAAA
rnacentral:lncRNA from 1 species